CGUCUUCGGUGAGAUCACCAGGGGCACUGAGUAGCUGUUGUUGCCACCGUCCGCGCUCUCACGUUUUGAGACAAUCCAAACCAACUUGCAGCUCCAACAUCCCACGGGGCCAAGCUCAGCAUCCCAGGGUUGCUCUUCACAAGUCUCCUCGUUCCCCACAGGCGCCUGGAGCCUUCAUCCAGACCAUGGAACUGGCGCCAUCUGCCGUAAUUCGCAAGAUCUAUCCGUCAUCUCCGGCUGCUGGCAAUACGAAUAGCUCCUUUCUUACCGGACACGACCUGCUGGGGGGUAAGUGCAGCGGGCCAGUGAGUAUGUGAUGGGUGGCGGUGCAUGGGUAAGGAGGGAAGGGAAAGUCAGUCGGUUCGCGAGGUAGCUGAUCUGGGUUUUGCGGGUUUGGGUUAAUUUCGGCGGUUGCGGCCUGGAAAAUCCAGCAUGAACCCAGCAUGAAUAUGCUGUCGGGUAUGUAAGGUGGUAAUGAGAAUAUCUGGGACCCCCCGGGGAGCUCCCGCUGUGGAAAUAUGCAUUAUACCUAACAGCUAAAGCUUUAUACCUAACAGCUAAAGCUUUCGAUUGAAAGCCGAGGGGAUGUUCAGGGGUUCCCCGUUCGUGUGUUCUGGGGUUAUUUGGAUCUGGGUUAUUUCGGAUAUGCCAUAAGUUUGAUCUGGGUUAUUUUGGAUUUGGGUUAUUUUGCAUCUGGGUUAUUUCGUGUCUUGGUUAAUUUGGAUCUGCUUUGCUUUGGAUCUCGGUUGCUCGGAUCUGGUCGGCUCGAUUUGAUCUGGUUCUCUGUUCGAGACGCUCCUUCAUUGGUGCUGCCAACCUAGCGUCACCUCAGCAUCGCCUGUACGACGACCCGUUUCACGUCUUACGUGGGAGGAGAGGUUUGACUCCAUCACGCUGCGAAGAAGAACUAAUCCCUCGGCAUUAUUCUCUCGAGCUCCUGUUGAGGGCCUUAUGGUCUCCAUCUGUCUAUCUGUUGAGCAGUGGCUUGUAGGGCACAGGAUACAUGCCUUAUGGACGAACGUGCCGAGCAGAAAGCGUUGAGGAAGGGGUUUCAAAAUGCAACAUGCAGUUGCGUGGGGCUUAGGGCACAUGCCAGUGUUUUCGGGAACAACAGAAAUACAUACAGAGAUGGCUGGCAGGUGGCUAUUGCAGGUGGCUGGCAGAAGUUAAGGCCUGACUUCUGCUCCCGGAGAUUCCGGGGUCAAAUCUGCCUGCCGACCUCUCGGUGUAUGAGGGGUGUUGAAAUAGGAGGUGGGCCCCCAUCUCGUGGACGGUGUAGGACGUGAUUUUAUCGACUUGCGAGCUGACCAGGA
rnacentral:lncRNA from 1 species